rnacentral:rRNA from 1 species
AGCGAACGUUAGCGGCGCGCUUAACACAUGCAAGUCGCACGAGAAAGGGCCUCGGCCCCAGUAAAGUGGCGCACGGGUGCGUAAACACGUAGGCAAUCUUCCCUUGAGCGGGGGAUAACGUUUCGAAAGAGACGCUAAUACCGCAUAAGACCACGACCGGUUCGCCGGUUGCGGUCAAAGCUGGCCUCUUCAUGAAAGCUAGCACUUAAGGACGAGCCUGCGGCCCAUCAUGCAGUUGGUAGGGUAACGGCCUACCAAGGCGAAGACGGGUAGCUGGUCUGGGAGGAUGAUCAGCCACACUGGAACUGAAACACGGUCCAGACUCCUACGGGAGGCAGCAGUGGGGAAUAUUGGACAAUGGGCGAAAGCCUGAUCCAGCGACGCCGCGUGAGUGAUGAAGGCCUUC